rnacentral:misc_RNA from 1 species
AACAUUUAUAUUUAAGGAUGCACAUUACAAACACAUUUUGGAGCUCCCUCAGAACUUUUGCUGAGGUUGGGAAAUACUCCAUUAAAUUCAUACUGUCACGGGCUUUCAUAUAUUCCUGUGCUAGCAGGUACAAGUUUCAUCAAAUACCAGCAAUCUACUAAUGCCACCUGAAAAUUUUCCAUCUAUCCUUACGGCUCUGCGUUUGCAAUUAGAUCAAUCAAGCUCUGCAGCUCCAAUGGCAUAGAAGUCCCAAACAUGAGGGGAAGUACAUCCAGUCAAAAUCAUCAACAAAAACUAUAGGUAAUGUGUAUUUUUACCCUUUGGCAUACUUAUCCACAUAACCCAUCACAAGUUUUGU